rnacentral:rRNA from 1 species
CCUACGGGAGGCAGCAGUGAGGAAUAUUGGUCAAUGGACGAGAGUCUGAUCCAGCCAAGUAGCGUGAAGGAUGACUGCCCUCUGGUUUGUCAACUUCUUUUACAUGGGAAUAAAAUGUUCCACGUGUGGGUUUUUGUAUGUACCAUAUGAAUAAGGAUAGGCUAACUCCGUGCCAGCAGACGAGGUAAUGCGGUGGAGCCGAGCGUUAACCGGAUUUAUUGGGUUUAAAGGGAACGUAGGUGGUUUGUUAAGUUAGGUGUGAAAGUUUGCGGCUCAACCGUAAAACUGCAGUUGAUACUGGCAGUCUUGAGUAUAGUAGAGGUGGGCGGAAUUCGUGGUGUAGCGGUGAAAUGCUUAGAGAUCACGAAGAACUCCGAUUGCGAAGGCAGCUCACUGGACGGCAACUGACACUGAGGUUCGAAAGUGUGGGUAUCAAACAGGAUUAGAUACCCUAGUAGUC